GUAAUCUUGAAAAACUCAUGAAAGAUCUUGAAAGUUAAGCUUAUCGAUACAAAAUCUUCAUCAAAACGAUCAAAGCUAAGUUAAAAAUUGCUUUUUUUCGCCUUAUAGUCCUUAGAAGAAGUUUGUUGCAACUU